rnacentral:lncRNA from 1 species
CGCGCAGUAGAAGUUUCUUUUUCAUAAAAUAAAAAAAUUAUUUCAAAUAUCGCGUUUUCUUUAAGCGUUUUCUUUAAGAAAUCUUAAACGAAGCAAAAUCAUGCGCAAAUUAAAAAUAAAGUUCUAACAAAAAUACCGUUAACCGAGCGCAAGUUUUUUAAGCUGGAUCCAUUUUCUUAAAGCAAUCCUUAUAAGAAAAUAUUAUUACUUAAAUGGGCAUAACUUUUUGUUGAAUUAUUAUUUUUUCUUGGAAUUUUCACCUUUUUAAUACAAAUUUAAAGGUCUUUUCAAUCAUAUUUAAUAAUUAUAUAAAUAAAUGGUUUAAAAUUUUUACACACGUACCUAUAAUCUGUUAUCACAACAAGAGUAAAAUUUUUAUUUAGUAAAUUUUUUGUUGUUAAUUUUUUCUAUAUGUUUCUUUAUUCUGUGUUAGUUAACACAGAUUAAAGAUUAAUUAAUCUGUGUUUUUUAAUCUGUGUUAGUUUUAAUUUUUAAUAAAAAAAUUAGAGAUUUGAAAGAAUUGGAAGUUUCUUUUUUUUAAUUUUUUUUUUUAAUUCAAAAUUUUUAUUUACAUAAUAUAAAGUAAUCUUUGAAGUAUGCCUGUUUCAAUAGUAUAGUUGAUCCAUCAGUUUGACAAACCUCAAGUACUUUGUUUUACUUAUAUAAGAAAAACAGCCAUGUUUUCCUUAAAUAAGCUGAAACAACAACAAAAGGCAAUAUAUUUACCAGCAGUAUAGAUAUUUUACAUAAGCAUGUUAUAAAUUACAAAAAAUAUAUCUGCAGUCUACAUUCUAGAUGGUUCACUCUUAUAUAGCCUGUCUAAAUUGAGGAGAGCGAUCAUAAACAAAACAAAACAUAAAUAAAUCAAAUAAAAUAAAUAAUACACACACAGAAGGUUGCUAUUAGUCAACAUUCAUUUUUAUAUCUUAUAUAUCUUUUAUGGUGAUAUAUAUUUUAUAACCAGUGAUACAAUUGUUGUUUCUAUUUAUCUUGAUGUAACAACUAUUGAUUUAAUUUAGUUUUGAGGACAUUUUUUUUAAUGUUGUAAAAAGGGAUUGUUUUUGAUUUAUUUUAAAGUUAAUUCCAGUCCAUUAAUGCAAAAUAUUUAAAGGAAUGUUUACCGUAGGAUUUUGUAUUAUAUGUUUACACACUCAGUGCACCUCUACAAGAUUUACUUGUGAGUUGACAGCUAAUUGCACCGCAAAGAAAAACCAUUUAUUAAAUAUUGAGCUUUUUGUUUAUGCAACUGUGAAUAAGUAAACAAUUUUCAAUUUUGAUUAUGUCAUGUAAUUUUAAAAUUUGUAGUGUUUUAAAGAUGUGAAUGUAUGGGUACUUUUUGGUAGAAAUUCAAUAAUCCUGACUGCUUUUUUUCUGCAUGAUAAAUAGGUGAUUCUGUUUCGAUUCCAUAAUAGAAGACAAUAUGUGAUGUGAGGGUAAAAUAAAGUAUAGUAAAUAGAUUUUAAAGUUUUUUCUUGUAUGAAAUGUCUUAGCUUUGAUAAAAUGGCAAGAGAUCUAAUCAACUUAUUAGAGAUAUCAUUAUAAGUCCAGGCUAAGCUAUUGUCUAGCUUUAUACCCAAAUAGUUAACAAAUUUUUGCACCAAAGUUUUUCCCAUUUAACUUAAUUUUGAGCUGCUGAUCUAAUUUUUUGUGAUGACUUUUAAAUAUUAUUAAAUCAGUUUUUAUAUAGUUUUUUUUUUUUUGUAAUUCACUUCCCCAAGGCCAACAAAAGUUUGUGUAUAGUUUGGCAUUAAUAGUUUUAAAUCAGUUUUAAGAAUAGAUAUAACUUUGGUAGUUUUUAAUUUUUCUGGGAAAAUACAACUUGACAAAAAGAUAUUUGAAAAGAUGUUAGAACAAAUUCUUGAAAGUUUUUAAUAGUUUUGAAAUUUUAAACGAUUGCUAAACAUAUUUAUUUUAAUGACAUUAAAUUUAGAGUAGUUAGCAGCUAACUUAAGUUUGUUUAAAAAAAGUUUGUUAAAUAAAUUUUAUUGUUAUUAUUCUUUAAGUCUUUAAUUUAUUUAUAAGUAUACUAGUUUAUUUAUAUUGAGAAAAAUUGACAACAAAUGCAAGCAUUAGGAGAAACUUUUUUUGGAAAGUGCUGUUUAUGAAAAAAGCCUAUGCUGAUGUAAUUUUAUAGUUGUGCAAGGGGGCAAGGAAUUUAGACGUUAAAGUACUUACACACAAACUAAUCUCAAUAUACUACAAGAAUUAAUAACAAAAAUAACUUUUAGAAGAUUACCAAUAAUUUCUUCCUGCCAUCUUCAAAAUGUUUGAAAAAUUAAUUUACUGUGGAUGAGUGAAAUAAAAACGUUGUUUAAGAAGAAUUUUUACUUCAUUUGUAAAGUGUUACUUUAUAAGGCAUAAAAUUAGCAGUAAUUUUUGCUUGACAAUUGCUGUUUUCACAAUUUUUUUAAACUCAAUCACUUUUGAUUCAAUUCAAUUUAUUAAAAAGUAAAUAACAGUUUUAGACUUCAACGGUUGAAAUUAUUUUUUAAACUUCGUUGAAGAAACUGACAUUGCUCUAGCAUAAAUUGAGAUCGACCUGAUGAAAGAUGGUAUUAUUUAUAUAUGUGAUAAUUAAUAAAAGACAAUUAGUUUUUAAAU